UACAGAGGGGGCAAGCGUUGUUCGGAAUUACUGGGCGUAAAGGGCGCGUAGGCGGCCUGCUAAGUCGAACGUGAAAUCCCCGGGCUCAACCCGGGAACUGCGUCCGAUACUGGUUGGCUUGAAUCCGGGAGAGGGAUGCGGAAUUCCAGGUGUAGCGGUGAAAUGCGUAGAUAUCGGGAGGAACACCAGUGGCGAAGGCGACUUCCUGGCCUGUUCUUGACGCUGAGGCGCGAAAGCUAGGGUAGCAAACGGG
rnacentral:rRNA from 1 species